rnacentral:rRNA from 1 species
UACGUAGGGUGCAAGCGUUGUCCGGAAUUAUUGGGCGUAAAGAGCUCGUAGGCGGUCUGUCACGUCGGCUGUGAAAACCCGGGGCUCAACCCCGGGCCUGCAGUCGAUACGGGCAGACUAGAGUGCGGUAGGGGAGACUGGAAUUCCUGGUGUAGCGGUGAAAUGCGCAGAUAUCAGGAGGAACACCGGUGGCGAAGGCGGUUCUCUGGGCCGUAACUGACGCUGAGGAGCGAAAGCAUGGGGAGCGAACAGG